UCCUCUGCCCUUUUCCCCACCUUCUGUCCUAGCUGUUUUUACAUGAGCUGUGGUGACUUCUCUCCUUUCUCCAUGGUUGUUUAAUUUACUAAGUGGCAUAGCAUUACGGCUCCAUCAACCUAGUAUGGAUACUGUUUUAUAUCUGAAACACUCUGUGUCACUUAAAAUAAUGUUUUAAAACAUUGUGGGAAGAGGAAACUAGAGGAGGAGGCUCCUUCGCCAUCCUUUGUACUGUCACAACCCACUACGUACAUCACAGGGCUGUCACUGAAGUGAAUGAUGCCCACAGCUUUAUUUGGGAGCAAACCAAGCAACCGCACAGACUGCAGGAUGGGAUAAUCAGGAGUGCUUCCAAUCGCACCAAAUAAACUGCAGCCCUAACACUGUGCCAGUGAACCCAGAAGCCGGUAGAUGCAGAUGAAGAAACAGAGCGUUUCAGUUCCUAACAUCCCUCAGCCAGGAAGCGUCUUGAAAUACAUCAAGCCAUUGUGCAAACUUCAUUUGGUCUAGCACCUUCUCUGGGUUUUAUAUCGUCCCCACCCCCAAAAAACUGAGUUAUGCUCCUAAAACGUGCCUACAUCCCUGGAUGCUGGUUUUGAAUGUUUACUGUAGGAU